UCCGUCGGUGGCCCUCUUUUUCCGGCCUUAUUGGGCGUAAAGCGCGCGCAGGCGGUUCCUUAAGUCUGAUGUGAAAGCCCACGGCUCAACCGUGGUGGGUCAUUGGAAACUGGGGGACUUGAGUGCAGAAGAGGAGAGCGGAAUUCCACGUGUAGCGGUGAAAUGCGUAGAGAUGUGGAGGAACACCAGUGGCGAAGGCGGCUCUCUGGUCUGUAACUGACGCUGAGGCGCGAAAGCGUGGGGAGCAAACAGG
rnacentral:rRNA from 1 species